rnacentral:rRNA from 1 species
GCACAAGCGGUGGAGCAUGUGGUUUAAUUCGAUGCAACGCGAAGAACCUUACCUACUCUUGACAUCCAGAGAACUUUCCAGAGAUGGAUUGGUGCCUUCGGGAACUCUGAGACAGGUGCUGCAUGGCUGUCGUCAGCUCGUGUUGUGAAAUGUUGGGUUAAGUCCCGCAACGAGCGCAACCCUUAUCCUUUGUUGCCAGCGGUUCGGCCGGGAACUCAAAGGAGACUGCCAGUGAUAAACUGGAGGAAGGUGGGGAUGACGUCAAGUCAUCAUGGCCCUUACGAGUAGGGCUACACACGUGCUACAAUGGCGCAUACAAAGAGAAGCGACCUCGCGAGAGCAAGCGGACCUCAUAAAGUGCGUCGUAGUCCGGAUUGGAGUCUGCAACUCGACUCCAUGAAGUCGGAAUCGCUAGUAAUCGUAGAUCAGAAUGCUACGGUGAAUACGUUCCCGGGCCUUGUACACACCGCCCGUCACACCAUGGGAGUGGGUUGCAAAAGAAGUAGGUAGCUUAACCUUCGGGAGGGCGCUUACCACUUUGUNAUUCAUGACNNNGGGNGAAGUCGUAACAA